AACCAAGAGAACAAUCAGUGGCUGUGCAUGGCAGACAACAGCAUUCCUCAGAGCAGAAGGCUGUGAGCAUCACUGUGUGUACUUAAUGGCUGUCCUUGGGUCUGGAGCUACCUUGAGUAGAGCCCAGAGCUAAUGCUAAGCAGAAACCCUGGGGACACAUAUGGAGGACAAGGUUUCCUUAGACAUCUAUUCCAGGCUGAGGAAAGCAAACAUUACAGAUGUGGACUAUGAAGAUGCUAUGUAAGGUUAUGGAAGAUUCUGCUCUUUGAAAACCAUCCAUGACCCCAAGCCUCAGGCCUGAUAUGUUCUUCAGAGAUCCUGGGGCAUUAGCUUUCCAGUAUACCUCUUCUGGAUGCCAUUCUCCAUGGCACUAUUCCUUCAUCUACUGUGAAGUGAAGUUGGCGCAGCCCUGAAGAAACUACCUAGGAGAACUAAUAGACACAGGAGUGACAGGGACUUUGUUAUCAGAACCAGAUUCCUGCCGGCUCCUUUGAAAACAGGUCAUAUUGUGCUCUUCUGUUUACAAGAGGAAACAAGAUGGAAUAAAAGAAAUUGGGAUCUUGGGUUGGAGGGACAGUGAAGCUUAGAGCACAUGAACUCAAGGUUAGUGACUCUGCAGGACUUCACAGAGAGAGCUGUGCCCAUCAUUCAGUCCAAGUGCUUUCUCUGCCCAGACAGCACAGAACUCCAGCCCCGCUACUUACAUGGAUCAUCG
rnacentral:lncRNA from 1 species